AGGGUUGGUCUGUUCGCCCAUUAAAGCGGUACGUGAGCUGGGUUUAGAACGUCGUAAGACAGUAAGUGACCGUUGCUGUCUAUAAAUUUGGCUAUAUGCUGGGAAAUCCGAGAAUCACCUCCUACUUGACAAAAGAUGUUGAUAGAGAUAAAAUAUCUCUAUGGCAAGUAAAAACGGAGGGUGUGCGGAUAAUCAGCAGGCAAGCAGGAAAAAAAUAUCAGAUGAAUAUUUUACUGGCUUCGUUGAUGGAGAAGGCUGUUUCUAUGUAGGUUUCAGCCGAAGAAAAGAUUUACCUUUAGGUUGGCAGGUUAUUACAGAGUUCCAUCUCAGUCAGAACCCACAGGGAAAACUAAUUUUAGAACAAUUUCAAAGAAGAUUAGGAUGUGGUUACAUUAAACCUAAUCACCCUAAAAGCAAAAGAGAUAAAACCUGGGUUUUGAUUGUGAAAGACAGAAAAGACCUAAAGGAAAGGUUGAUACCUUUCUUUCAGAAACAUCCUCUUCAUUCAGGGAAAAGAAAAGAUUUUAUGCUCUUUGUUAAAGUACUUCAGUUGAUUGAAAAAGGAAGUCACCUUAAACCUGAAGGUUUUAGGAAGAUAGCCAAUUUGGUCUUCCAAUUACCACGAAGUCGGAAACGUUAUUUGAAAGAAGAGAUAUUUUUCUCCUGUGGCCUCAGAGACUAUACGCCAAAUACCUCGAAAAGGUAAAGAUAUAGUCCGAUCUCACGGGCGACUGUGAGAGUUUCGCAGAAAUGCGAAGUCACCUCUUCUUGAAUCUAGAAGGGGUUAUAAGUCUCUGAUAGGAGAUGAAGUAACAGAAUGUCGGUCUCUAUCUGCUGUGGGCGUUGGAUAUUUGAAGGGGAGCUAUCCCUAGUACGAGAGGAUUGGGAUGGACGAACCUCUGGUGUUCCAGCUGUUCCGCCAGGAGCAAUCGCUGGGUAGCUAUGUUCGGAAAGGAUAAGCGCUGAAAGCAUCUAAGCGCGAAGCCUCCCCCAAGAUAAGAUAUCCCUCUGCCGCAAGGUGGACUAAAGAUUCCAGGAAGACGACCUGGUUGAUAGGCCAGAUGUGUAAGUCCAGUAAUGGAUUCAGCUAACUGGUACUAAUCAAUCGUGUGGCUUGACCAUAGAU
rnacentral:rRNA from 1 species